rnacentral:rRNA from 1 species
AUUUUGGACAAUGCGGGCAACCAUGAUCCAGCCAUUCCGCGUGAGUGAAGAAGGCAUUCGGGUGUAAAGCUAAUUCUGCAGGAACGAAACGGUGGAAUUUAAUACAUUAAAAAAAUGACGGUACCUGAAGAAGAAGCACCGGCUAAUUACGUGCCAGCAGCCGCGGUAAUUACGUAGGGUGCGAGCGUUAAUCGGAAUUACUGGGCGUAAAGCGUGCGCAGGCGGUGACUCAAGUCAGAUGUGAAAUCCCCGGGUUUAACCUGGGAAAGGCAUUUGAAACUAGGUCGCUAGAGUGUAGCAGAGGGGGGUAGAAUUCCACGUGUAGCAGUGAAAUGCGUAGAGAUGUGGAGGAAUACCGAUGGCGAAGGCAGCCCCCUGGGUUAACACUGACGCUCGGCACGAAAGCGUGGGGAGCAAACA